AAAAUAUUUCAAAUUUCUUAUACAAUACUAUUACACUAUAAUUAAAAUUAUUUUUUCUAUAUUAAAUACUAAAACAAAUCUUUAUAUAAUUAUUUUUAAUAAUUUAAAAUUUUAAACUAAUAAAUUAAUAAAUAAAAUAUAAUCAAUUUAUAUUGAUUUGCACAAAAAUCUUUUCAAUGUAAAUGAAAUACUUUACUUAAUAAGCUUUAAAUUGCAUUCUAGAUACACUUUCCAGUACAUCUACUAUGUUACGACUUAUCUUAUUUUAUAAUAAGAGUGACGGGCGAUGUGUACAUAUUUUAGAGCUAAAAUCAAAUUAUUAAUCUUUAUAAUUUUACUAUCAAAUCCACCUUCAAUAAAUAUUUCAAAUUUAUAUUCAUAUAAAUAAUUUCAUUGUAACCCAUAUCUACUCAAAUAUAAGCUACACCUUGAUCUGAUAUAUUUUUUAUUUUAAAAUUAUGAAAAUUAACUUUCUUAUAAAAUAUUCUAAUAACAACGGUAUAUAAACUGAUAACAAAUUUAAGUAAGGUCCAUCGUGGAUUAUCGAUUAUAGAACAGGUUCCUCUGAAUAGACUAAAAUACCGCCCAAUUUUUUAGGUUUCAAGAAAAUAACUA
rnacentral:rRNA from 1 species